UGUGUGUAUGGUUUCUUUACAGAAACAACCAACAGCACCAACUCCUGGCCUGGCAUGCCAACUAUGUUGUUUUCAGCAUCCCGGGUGUUUCCAUGGAAACGG